GGUAUCUAAUCCUGUUUGCUCCCCACGCUUUCGCAUCUGAGUGUCAGUAUCUGUCCAGGGGGCCGCCUUCGCCACCGGUAUUCCUUCAGAUCUCUACGCAUUUCACCGCUACACCUGAAAUUCUACCCCCCUCUACAGUACUCUAGUCUGCCAGUUUCAAAUGCUAUUCCGAGGUUGAGCCCCGGGCUUUCACAUCUGACUUAACAAACCACCUGCAUGCGCUUUACGCCCAGUAAUUCCGAUUAACGCUCGCACCCUCCGUAUUACCGCGGCUGCUGGCACGGAGUUAGCCGGUGCUUCUUCUGUCGCUAACGUCAGACAACGCCGCUAUUAACGACGCCGCCUUCCUCACGACUGAAAGUACUUUACAACCCGAAGGCCUUCUUCAUACACGCGGCAUGGCUGCAUCAGGCUUGCGCCCAUUGUGCAAUAUUCCCCACUGCUGCCUCCCGUAGGAGUCUGGACCGUGUCUCAGUUCCAGUGUGGCUGAUCAUCCUCUCAGACCAGCUAGGGAUCGUUGCCUUGGUGAGCCCUUACCUCACCAACUAGCUAAUCCCACCUAGGCAUAUCCUGACGCGAGAGGCCCGAAGGUCCCCCUCUUUGGCCCGUAGGCAUCAUGCGGUAUUAGCCAUCGUUUCCAAUGGUUAUCCCCCACAUCAGGGCAAUUUCCUAGGCAUUACUCACCCGUCCGCCGCUCGACGCCGUUAUCGUUCCCCGAAGGUUCAGAUAACUCGUUUCCGCUCGACUUGCAUGUGUUAGGCCUGCCGCCAGCGUUCAAUCUGAGCCAGGAUCAAACUCU
rnacentral:rRNA from 1 species